rnacentral:rRNA from 1 species
AAAUUGAAGAGUUUGAUCAUGGCUCAGAUUGAACGCUGGCGGCAGGCCUAACACAUGCAAGUCGAGCGGCAGCGGGAAGUAGCUUGCUACUUUGCCGGCGAGCGGCGGACGGGUGAGUAAUGUCUGGGAAACUGCCUGAUGGAGGGGGAUAAC